CCUACGGGUGGCUGCAGUGGGGAAUAUUGGGCAAUGGGCGCAAGCCUGACCCAGCAACGCCGCGUGAAGGAAGAAGGCUCUCGGGUUGUAAACUUCUUUUAUCAGGGACGAAGCAAGUGACGGUACCGGAUGAAUAAGCCACGGCUAACUACGGGCCAGCAGCCGCGGUAAUACGUAGGGGGCAAGCGUUAUCCGGAUUUACUGGGUGUAAAGGGCGUGUAGGCGGGAAAGGCAGUCAGAUGGGAAAACCAUGGGCUCAACCUGUGGCCUGCAUUGGAAACGGUUUUUCUUGCGUACUGGAGAGGCAGCCGGCAUUCCUCGUGUAGCGGUGACAUGCGUAGAUAUU
rnacentral:rRNA from 1 species